ACGUGACCCCCCGCUGCCGCCGCCGCCGCCGGCUGCCGCCUCCUCGCGCCUGUUUUCCCCCCUUUUUUCCCCUCUGGAAUUAAUAAAUAACAAUAAAAUCCAAAAAAAAACCCCCGGCGCCGGCGGACGCCGAGGGCGGUGGAGCCGGUCGGCGUUUCCGCCCCCCCCCAAACCCGGCGUUUUCGGCGAGCGGCAGCCGGGAGACGUCGAAAGCCGGCGGAGACGGGCGACGUCCGGCCCGCGGGUGUUGGGAUCAGCGGACGCCGGAGCCGGCAAACACCCGAAACGGCCGGUUUUGGCAGCGGGAAGCGUCCGAGCCGAGGGACGUUGAAGGCGACGGGCAGCGGAGGUGGGAAAUGUCCGACCUGCGGGUGUUGGAGCUGGCAGACACCAAAAUCAGGAGAUGUUGGAGCUGGCGGACACCAAAACCAGAUGUUGGAGCUGGCGGACACCAAAACUGGCAGAUGUUGGAGCUGGUGGACACCAAAACUGGCAGAUGUUGGAGCUGGCGGACACCAAAACCGGCAGGUGUUGGAGCUGGCGGACACCAAAACCGGCAGUUUCCGGCACCGGGAAGUGUCCAAUCUGGAGGACAUUGAAGCUGGUUGACGGUAGCAAUGGGAGAUGUCCAAGCUGCAGGUGUUGGAGCUGGUGGACACCAAAACCGGCAGUUUUCGGCACCAGGAAAUAUCUAAUCUGGAGGACGUUGAUGCUGACUGGUGGCAGAGAUGAGAGAUGUCCAAGCUGCAGGUGUUGGAGCUGGUGGACACCAAAACCGGCAGGUGUUGGAGCCAGCAGACACCAAAACCAGCAGAUGUUGGAGCUGGCGGACACCAAAACCGGCAGUUUUUGGCACUGGGAAAUGUCUAAUCUGGAGGACAUUGAAGCCGGCUGGUGGUGGCAAUAGGAGAUGUCCAAGCUGCAGGUGUUGGAGCUGGUGGACACCAAAACCGGCAGAUGUUGGAGCUGGUGGACACCAAAACUGGCAGGUGUUGGAGCUGGUGGACACCAAAACCAGAUGUUGGAGCUGGUGGACACCAAAACCAGGAGAUGUUGGAGCUGGCGGACACCAAAACCAGAUGUUGGAGCUGGCGGACACCAAAACUGGCAGACGUUGGAGCUGGCAGACACCAAAACCGGCAGUUUUCGGCACCGGGAAGUGUCUGAUCUGGAGGACGUUGAAGCCGGCUGGUGGCGGAGAUUGGGAGAUGUCCAACCUGCGGGUGUUGGAGCUGGUGGACACCAAAACCAGCAGGUGUCGGAGCUGGUGGACACCAAAACCGGCCGAUAUUGAAUCCGGCCGACACCAAAACCGGCGGCGCCGGCGAGCGUCCAACGUGGGAGACGUCGGAGCCGGGAAAUGUCCGAGUUGGGGGACGCCGGAGCCGGCCGACACCCAAGCGGAUGCCGGAGCCAACGGAUGUCCGACCUGGAGGUCCACCAGAGUCAACGAACACCGAAACCGGCAGCGCCAGCCAACGGCUUGA
ensembl:lncRNA